UAUGAUGUAUGCUCAAUAUCAUCCUACCAUCAUGGCUAUUGGAUGGCAACAUGCUUGACCACUGGCAACCGCCCCAGCCACACCCACAGAUCGCCACUCCCCCUGCCAUCGCCGCCGAUGGAUGAUCAUAAUUUUUUGCCCUUUUUUAAUUGAAAUAUAUUUGUUAGAAAAUACUAAUUACAUGAUCUAUAUCAUUACAUAAAGCAAUGUUAACCAUC
rnacentral:lncRNA from 1 species